UUGAAAGGGAAACGAUUGAAGUCAGUCGUACCUGUGGGUAAUCAGCCUUUUGGGUGUGAUUUUGUGGAGUGUGAGGAGUUAAACGCCUUCAUGCCUGCAUAUUCGUGCACUUUGGGUGUAUUUACCCGUGUGGUAAGUUAACAUCAAUUUCGGUGAUCAUAAAAUGGCUGGAGGAAUGUAGCUUCGAUCUUGUAUUGAAGUGUUAUAGCCUUCGGUAGAUGUGAUGAUCGGGAUUGAGGAUUGCAACGGAUACCCUUCGGGGCUACCUGUCUGAUCUCUGAUCGUUGCUCUGGUGCCGAAAGCUUGCUUACGGUUUCCAAAGUCGAUGGUCAAUAGGUUAGAAUGGGUUAAAUUCGUUAAGGAUGUUGACGUA
rnacentral:rRNA from 1 species